AGUAGUAUGCUCGCAAGAGUGAAACUUAAAGGAAUUGACGGGGACCCGCACAAGCGGUGGAGCAUGUGGUUUAAUUUGAAGAUACGCGGAGAACCUUACCCACUCUUGACAUCCUUCGCAAUGCUAUAGAGAUAUAGCGGAGGUUAACGGAGUGACAGAUGGUGCAUGGUUGUCGUCAGCUCGUGUCGUGAGAUGUUUGGUCAAGUCCUGCAACGAGCGCAACCCCUAUCUUUAGUUACUAACGAGUCAUGUCGAGGACUCUAGAGAUACUGCCUGGGUAACUGGGAGGAAGGUGGGGAUGACGUCAAAUCAUCAUGCCUCUUACGAGUGGGGCAACACACGUGCUACAAUGGUCGGUACAAAGAGAAGCAAUAUGGCGACAUGGAGCAAAUCUCAAAAAGCCGAUCUCAGUUCGGAUUGGAGUCUGCAAUUCGACUCCAUGAAGUCGGAAUCGCUAGUAAUCGCAGAUCAGCUACGCUGCGGUGAAUACGUUCUCGGGUCUUGU
rnacentral:rRNA from 1 species